AACAGCAAAAGUAUAAUUUAAACUUUUUGCUACUGAGCUUGUUUCUGCAGCAUUUUGCAUAAAUAUUGUUGACAUUUACUGGUGAACGAGUCCUAUCGGAAGUUAUUGCGGCUGAUUGAGGCCAAGACGAAGACGAAAAACGGUUGUUAAAACUUGCCCAUUUAAGCACCAUGAGAACAGUUAACUAGAGAUCGGAUAAACAAACAUUAGGAUAUCAUACAUGAUUCUUCGGAAAACAAUUUUUAUCGAAAACAACUUUGGAUUUAUGCCGACCAUUUCCAUGUAUUGGUGAAGGAGAAAAGUGAUGCUGCCUUCCUAUUCCAAUACAGAUGCAGAGAAUCUGAUUUUCAAAAGCUAGAGCCACAGCCUCGGCAAAAAAAAUGGAAAUUAUGAGGGUGGUGGCCUACUCGACUCUCUCAAACCUUCCACUGAGAUUAAGACCAGCAUGCAAGACCGAAGUCAAAAAACACAACAAGUUUUUAAGUUAACUAAGACGAAACCUUUCCAGUUCUGUCCUUUUCAAAGAGGUAGCCAUGUACGGUGACCUGCUCGCUAACAUGGAAGACGCUUUUCACAAAGUUAAAGAAAGUGGGGACCCAGGAACAUUUCUGCUCCUUAAAACUGUCCUAGCCAAGGCCUACAUCGAAGACCUACCUCUUGUUGAUGUUCUAGAGACACUGAAAAGUCGCUCAGCAUUCCUGUCUGAAUGUCCAAAGCCUGAAGGAUUGACGGAAUAGGAGCGGUUGACAGUGGCAGGAGAUGGUUUAGAACAACAGGAUCUGAGCACCCUUGAAGGAAAUGAAUGGCUGAAU